UGGUAAUCAUGGAGACAGAGCAGCUAUAAAAGGAAGAAGAAACUCAGCACCUGGAACUGCCAGCUGAUUUUCAAAUUCUCUUGUGCUUCAGUAUUUAUCAAUUAUCAGAUCACAAACCGUUGUUGGGAAUUCUGGCCAGCGAUCGCCAGUCUCUGCAGAUCCUGUCCCUACGGAUGACCAGGUGGGUCAUGUUCCUGGCGGCCUACAAUUAUUGACUGGCCCACUGCCCAGGUUUAACAACCUCUCCCAUCUUCACUGGCAUCCCCUGACAUUUUUCUUUGUCAAAGGAAUGGCACUUGAGCUGGUAUACAAAAAGAUGACUGGAUGGAUAGAGAAUUAUACCAAAGAACACUAAGAUCUGAAAAUGGGUGGAAAGAAAACUGACAAGCUUGUUGAGAGAUUUGAUGGAAGGUAGCUUCAAGAAGUACAACUGACUGUCUUUGAGAAAGAUCAUAGAUAAAUUAAAGAGAGAAGGACUGCU